UAAGCUCUUUAGGAAAACAAAUUUACAAGUUUAUAGUAUAAUAAACACAUUAUAAUGUAUUUUUAAUUGCACAAUUAUCACUACUACAGGUAGAUGCUUGUUUUAGCUACAGUUUUAAGUUGAAAAUACUAUCAAUGUCAUCAUAAUUUUGACGGUUGUUUAAACUUAAAUCUUGGUUGUCUAAAUAUUUAUUGAACUUCUCAUGAAAAUGAGAAUAUUCUCGAUGAACUUUCAAUUUUAAAAACUUCAAAUUACGAAAAUAGUUUGGAUCAUUUAAUAUAUAAUUUGUUGCUUUUAUUCCUAAUUGUAGAAAAACUAGACAGUUGACUGUAUGAUAGACCCAUAUAAGUCUCAUAAGAUAAGUAUUAAAGUCAGCAUUGAUAUACUGAGAUGACAAAUUAUAUUGAUUAACUCGUGGAAUAUCAUGUCUAUGUCAUGAUAUAUUAUUAUAUGCGAUGAAAUAGAAACAAUUUGCUAUUCAUUUUUAAAAAUGUUUUAGGUAUAUUAUCAUACAUAACGCAUAUUUAUCACAGAAUUCAUAGAAUAAACAAAAUA